GGCUCGGUAACUAAGUUGGUAAAGCGCUCGUCUGGCAUACAAGAGUCCUAGAUUCAAAUCCUAGCCGAGCAC
rnacentral:tRNA from 1 species